rnacentral:tRNA from 1 species
GGGCGCUUAGCUCAGUUGGUAGAGCGUCUGCCUUACAAGCAGAAUGUCGGCGG